CAGAGAUGAACUUCGAUUAAGUUCGCAACGUCCUGUUGCAACAUCGAAGCCAACACAUCCUGUGUA
rnacentral:sRNA from 1 species